rnacentral:lncRNA from 1 species
UCACGUAGAAGUUUACUAAAAUUAGGAUAUGAUAGUAAAAGCUCCAGAAAAUUUGACAUGGCCACUGUCGUAUACACAUUUGGAAACAGUGUGUACAUAUAUGUAGAAUAAAACCACAAUUGCUCAAACAGUGUAAUUUCUCGCAUGCGAGCACAGGCGCAAGCAUCAGACUUAGUUCAGAAACAGUUGGAAAAUAAAUAGUGAUAACCACAGGUUGGCCAAAGUACAAGCAGAAUCAUCAGCUAAAAUAAAUGUCGUCCAACAGUCACGCUUGAAAGAUCGAGCAUUAGCGCAGAUGGGAAAUCACAACAUGGUUCCUUCUGGAUGACACAGGGCCUCAAACUCGUUUGCACAUCCUGUUAAGAAUCAUCUACUCCAAUCAAUAUCUACAAUUACAGUUCACACGGUACUACAAGUACAUGUACCAGGAAUUAGCAAGAUGACUCCAGGACAUGUACGCUAGAUCAAUAUUGUUGAUUCUAAAAGCGUUGUUAGAACAUGGAUUGCAACAAGAAAAAAAAAGGCAUGAAUAAGAUGAACUAGUAAUGCUAUGAGAAAAUUCAAUUGGAUAUCAAAGUGCAGUUUCAUUAAGAUCAACAAAGUGAACCAGAAGAAAACACAGCAGAUAUAAUCUAUCUCCAGGCACGUCCGCUAACUCCCUGUUAACCAUUCUUUCACAUGCAAGUCAUAACAUUCAUGCACAAAACUUACUUUAAAGCUUCAAGGACAUAUAGAUACUCUUUACAAAUCAAGGAUGGGAACAACAAGCACAUCUCUUUUCCUGAUUACUAGUCUAAUAAAAGCUGCAAUUGGGGGAAAUUGACAAAAGGAAAGAAACAUAGUGCAUGGAUAAUCGAAUAGUAGUCAUACCCCCAGAAGGAUGAAGCCAAGUGUUGAGAUGAUUAGAUGAUUCUGCAUCAUAACAUAGUAUUCAAGCCUGAAUUUCAGAGAAUUUCAUAAGGAGCAUAGUCCUGCAUGCAAAAGUAAAAAAGAUCAUCAAUAGAAUUUCAGAGACAAAAAGUACCAACUACCAAGGGAGUACUCGUAAGGAAUAAUACAUUAAUACUUAAUGGGAUUGGAUUUGUAAAUGUUGGAUUUAAGCUGGGAAAUGAUGGCAUAGGCUAGAAUUAACCAAAGCUAAAAACAAGUUGCAGUUGAUUCGUGCAGGCAUAAACAGAAGGGAAAAUGAUGUAAAGUAUAGAGGUGCGGCAAAUAAAACAAAUGACACAGCUCGAUCACAUAAAAAAUAGUUCUAGUAAGUCUAGUAUGUAUGAACUAUGAAGCAGAUCUUAAAACUCAUUAAACAAUUUUUCUUCUGGGGAAUUAACUGCAGUAGAACAAAGCAAAGCUUGCAGCAGUGAAAGAUAUGUUCAGCAAAUUUGAUUUGGCUAUUCUGCUGAUGUUUCACUUGUAGAAGUACCAUAUUACCAGAGCAUAGCUCUGGAAGAUUCGGUCUUAUUUUCCUGUUGGCAGGGUCUGCUAUUUCUUUUAUCUAAUGAUGAAGCAAUCGCCCCAUUCUGCAAGAAACACACCAAUGUCAUGGUUAGUGCAGAGUUGUGGGCGCGGACGAAAGAAAGGAAUGAGUGUGCACAUAAUUUUCGCACACAAGAACCAGAGGCAAAUGUGAUCGAAAAAUUUCACGAGCACGCCAAUGAAUAUUCACAUAAAAACGUGUGGUAAUAGGAACAAUAAGAUCCAACUAGUUUUGAGGAACUGAUGGCCCUAAACUGACAACAAAUUUGAGCAACCAGCAAGCAGUAGCACACCUAUCUGUGUUCCGCCUGCUACCACUGAGCUCGAGCCGACGACUGUGAUUUCUUCAUAUAAAAGUACUAACUAUCAUGUGGAAACGUUUAUAAAAAUGAAUUGGGGAAAAGUACGAUUAGAUUGGAAGAACGGUUAUACUCAUGGAUAAGGGAAGAAGAGAACAUACCCUUCAUAGUUGAAUCGCGGAAGACCGUCAACUCCUGUACCUCUAUAGAAUCGACGCCCCGGACGACGACAUCGGACAUAGACGAGCCAUCGCUGCCAAAUAAAUCAACGCGCACAGUCGAUUCAGAGGAACACAGGGCGAGAUUAAGCUUCUAUGCCGUAGAUCCUUACCCAGGUACAUGAGAGGGAGGAGAGAGAGAGAGAGAGAGAGAUAUGACACCGGGCACAUUUUUCCAACCCUAGCUCCCACCUGCUCCCAUGGAUUACGGCGGCACGGGAGAGAAGAGAAGGCAGAGGAAGGGAAACGAUGAGAGAGAGGACGAGUACAGAAUUCUGAGCCACUUUAAGGUUAAAUC